AUUUGAAAUCUGGCGUCUUUGGCGUCCGAGUUGUAAUUUGCAGAGGGCGCUUUGGCAUUGGCAGCGGUCCAAGUUCCUUGGAACAGGACGUCACAGAGGGUGAGAAUCCCGUACGUGGUCGCUAGCCUUUACCGUGUAAAGCCCCUUCGACGAGUCGAGUUGUUUGGGAAUGCAGCUCUAAAUGGGAGGUAAAUUUCUUCUAAAGCUAAAUACUGGCCAGAGACCGAUAGCGCACAAGUAGAGUGAUCGAAAGAUGAAAAGCACUUUGGAAAGAGAGUUAAAAAGCACGUGAAAUUGUUGAAAGGGAAGCGCUUGCAGCCAGACUUGCCUGUAGUUGCUCAUCCGGGUUUUUACCCGGUGCACUCUUCUAUAGGCAGGCCAGCAUCAGUUUGGGCGGUUGGAUAAAGGUCUCUGUCAUGUAACUCUCUUCGGGGAGAACUUAUAGGGGAGACGACAUGCAACCAGCCUGGACUGAGGUCCGCGCAUCUGCUAGGAUGCUGGCGUAAUGGCUGUAAGCGGCCCGUCUUGAAACACGGACCAAGGAGUCUAACAUCUAUGCGAGUGUUUGGGUGUCAAGCCCGAGCGCGUAAUGAAAGUGAACGGAGGUGGGAACCUUUCGGGGUGCACCAUCGACCGAUCCUGAUGUCUUCGGAUGGAUUUGAGUAAGAGCAUAGCUGUUGGGACCCGAAAGAUGGUGAACUAUGCUUGAAUAGGGUGAAGCCAGAGGAAACUCUGGUGGAGGCUCGCAGCGGUUCUGACGUGCAAAUCGAUCGUCAAAUUUGGGCAUAGGGGCGAAAGACUAAUCGAA
rnacentral:rRNA from 1 species